rnacentral:rRNA from 1 species
GACGAACGCUGGCGGCGUGCUUAACACAUGCAAGUCGAACGGAAAGGCCCUGCUUUUGUGGGGUGCUCGAGUGGCGAACGGGUGAGUAACACGUGAGUAACCUGCCCUUGACUUUGGGAUAACUUCAGGAAACUGGGGCUAAUACCGGAUAGGAGCUCCUGCUGCAUGGUGGGGGUUGGAAAGUUUCGGCGGUUGGGGAUGGACUCGCGGCUUAUCAGCUUGUUGGUGGGGUAGUGGCUUACCAAGGCUUUGACGGGUAGCCGGCCUGAGAGGGUGACCGGCCACAUUGGGACUGAGAGACGGCCCAGACGCGUACGGGAGGCAGCAGUGGGGAAUAUUGCACAAUGGGCGGAAGCCUGAUGCAGCAACGCCGCGUGCGGGAUGACGGCCUUCGGGUGGUAAACCGCUUUGGCCUGUGACGAAGCGUGAGUGACGGUAAUGGGUAAAGAAGCACCGGCUAACUACGUG